UAUAACAUAUCAUCCCAUGCUUUAUAAUUUUUCAAAACUAUGUCGUCAUGUUUUUCUUUUUAGCUAAUCUGUUAAUGUCAGCAGGCUAAUGGUGCAAAUUGAAGAAGUUUGAAUAUCAAAUAAAAUAGGUUUGUAGAUUUUUUUCAAGAUAUUAGUCAUUGCAUUGAGAUUUUUUAUUCUGCUGCACGGUAUUUUGUGACAGCUUUUGGGGAAUAAGGUGGAUGUGCCCCUCACUCAAUAGGUGUAUCCUUUUCUUUUUCAUUUCUACAUACUUCUUAGUGGUGCCAUCCACCACUACCAUUAAAAAAAGAAAACAAAAGAAAAAAAAAACUAAUAAAGCAAGAAACAAAUAGUUCAUAACUUUGUAAAGAAGAGAAACAUGUGGCAAGGGAUUCCAAAAUUUUUGUGAAACAGGAUCCACUGUUCCUAGUCAAUAACAAACAUGACCUUGAUAAGAGUUACAAGCUUCAAACAAACAUUCCACCAGGAAAAGAAUUAAAAAGGAACAAAAAGUACUUCUAAUAAGGAGCUAUAGUUAAGGCAAUCUGAACCAUUUGUCCCGUGGGUCCUGUUGUGAAUGUCAUGUUCUUGAAAAAUAUAAUGUCUUUUGUGACAAGCAUGCAUUGAGUGUGGAUUGCUGAUCACUUUUGGCCAACCAUUCAUUUUCUUCAUUCUCAUGUUGCACACAUUGAACAGACCAAGCUGAUUUGAGUGCCAUGACACAGCGACGAAGUAGCCUAAGUGGGGGCAUUUAAAGGAUCUACCUGCAGCUAUAAAACUCUGUGAACCGGCUUUAGUUGUUGUUGAUGAUGCGCCAGAAUAUAUAAAAUUGGGACAAAAGCAAGAGGAAUGGAGUAUGGCUUUACUAUCUAGAUGACUAAAACAGGGCUGCAUUUGUACAAAGGACCUGAGGAUGGUAUGCAUAUCCUUGGGUUUACCCAUCCUGUUUGGUGGGCGUUGAAAGAGACUACUUAGCCUUAAGCAAGCAGUAUCCAAAAUUAUCAAUAUCCCUGGAAUUCACCGAGGUAUGACUUUUCUUAUUUCAGUUGCUGCUUGCAAGUAACGGCUAUCUUACUUGUCAUGAAUCUAGGCUGAA